AAUGGGCGCAAGCCUGAUGCAGCCAUGCCGCGUGUAUGAAGAAGGCCUUCGGGUUGUAAAGUACUUUCAGCGAGGAGGAAGGCGUUGUGGUUAAUAACCGCAACGAUUGACGUUACUCGCAGAAGAAGCACCGGCUAACUCCGUGCCAGCAGCCGCGGUAAUACGGAGGGUGCAAGCGUUAAUCGGAAUUACUGGGCGUAAAGCGCACGCAGGCGGUUGAUUGAGUCAGAUGUGAAAUCCCCGGGCUUAACCCGGGAAUUGCAUCUGAUACUGGUCAGCUAGAGUCUUGUAGAGGGGGGUAGAAUUCCAUGUGUAGCGGUGAAAUGCGUAGAGAUGUGGAGGAAUACCGGUGGCGAAGGCGGCCCCCUGGACAAAGACUGACGCUCAGGUGCGAAAGCGUGGGGAGCAAA
rnacentral:rRNA from 1 species